UACAGAGGUCUCAAGCGUUGUUCGGAUUCAUUGGGCGUAAAGGGUGCGUAGGUGGCGCGGUAAGUCGGGUGUGAAAUCUCGGAGCUUAACUCCGAAAAUGCAUUCGAUACUGCCGUGCUUGAGGACUGGAGAGGAGACUGGAAUUCAUGGUGUAGCAGUGAAAUGCGUAGAGAUCAUGAGGAAGACCAGUGGCGAAGGCGGGUCUCUGGGCCGAUACUGACGCUGAGGAGCGAAAGCGUGGGGAGCGAACAGG
rnacentral:rRNA from 1 species